rnacentral:rRNA from 1 species
GUAAACGGCGGCCGUAACUAUAACGGUCCUAAGGUAGCGAAAUUCCUUGUCGGGUAAGUUCCGACCCGCACGAAAGGCGUAAUGAUUUGGGCACUGUCUCGACAAUGCAUCCGGUGAAAUUGAAGUACCAGUGAAGAUGCUGGUUACCUGCGCCAGGACGGAAAGACCCCAUGGAGCUUUACUCCAGCUUGAUACUGGGAUUCGAUAUUGUAUGUACAGGAUAGGUGGGAGGCGAAGAAGCAUUGACGCCAGUUGAUGCGGAGCCGCUGUUGGGAUACCACCCUUGCAGUAUUGGAUUUCUAACCAGCAGCCGUGACCCGGCUGGGGGACAAUGUCAGGUGGGGAGUUUGACUGGGGCGGUCGCCUCCGAAAGGGUAUCGGAGGCGCUCAAAGGUUCCCUCAGAAUGGUCGGAAACCAUUUAAAGAGUGCAAAGGCAGAAGGGAGCUUGACUGCGACACCGACGGGUGGAGCAGGUACGAAAGUAGGACUUAGUGAUCCGGUGGUAUAAAGUGGGAUUGCCAUCGCUCAACGGAUAAAAGCUACCCUGGGGAUAACAGGCUUAUCACUCCCAAGAGUUCACAUCGACGGAGUGGUUUGGCACCUCGAUGUCGGCUCAUCGCAUCCUGGGGCUGUAGCAGGUCCCAAGGGUUGGGCUGUUCGCCCAUUAAAGCGGUACGCGAGCUGGGUUCAGAACGUCGUGAGACAGUUCGGUCCCUAUCCGGCGUGGGCGUAGGAUAUUUGAGAGGAGCUGUCCUUAGUACGAGAGGACCGGGAUGGACUGACCUCUGGUGUACCGGUUGAACCGCCAGGUUCACGGCCGGGUAGCCAAGUCGGGAAGGGAUAAACGCUGAAGGCAUCUAAGCGUGAAGCCCCCCUCAAGAUGAGAUAUCCCAUUCGCAAGAAUUAAGACCCCUUGAAGACGACGAGGUUGAUAGGUCAGAGGUGGAAGUGUGGUAACACAUGGAGCUGACUGAUACUAAUAGGUCGAGGGCUUAUCCAU